CCAAAAUGGGCACCUCUACGGAAGAAUUUUGCUUUAAGGUGCUGGCAGAAUUGUGUGUGUACAAUGAAUCGCAUUAACAUCUGAAAAACCCAGACUGUCAUUCAGUGUAAAUAUAUAAACACAAUUUGCAAAUAGAAACUUCUAGUGUCCUCAUAACAUAAGCCGCUGAGGCUAUUGUUAGCUAUUUUUCCUACUUUUAAAAUGUAAUUAAGCAGGGCUAAAUAUGAACUUUAGAGUUUUGCUAACUAGUAUUUGGAACAAGAAUGGGCAAAAUAUGGUUUGUGGGCUGCACACCAACCCCCUCCCGUCUCCCCACCAACUAGACUGCAGAUUGUGCCCUAGGCAUUAUUUUACUGUUUAUACAUAUGUUUGUCCCCACUGGAGGAAAUGUGAGGCCUUUAAACCCUUUAGAGAAACAGAAAGUGAUCCACUGAUUUUGUUUCUUCAUGGUGACAGUAGUGUAUGGCCCUUCAGGAUCAGGGGGAGGGCAGACUCUCAGAAAUUUUCCUCCCCUGGGAUACAAUAUACACUUCUUCUGUACUUCUUUCUGCAAAGAAACUGCCACACAGUGGCAUGGCUCUUACUGCUGAUUUAUGCUUGUAUAAGGGAGAUCUUGCAAAUCUUAGCAGCAAACUUGCUGCAUAUGAACAAGUUAAUGGUUCCGUUCCUGGGCACAGAAAUCUAGAACCCAGAAACACAACUAAGGGGUCUGUAUAAUGAAUGUACCACCAGUUAAGUCUUUUGCUUGUAAAUGUGUGUUACAAAGGGUUCUGGGGGCAUCAGCUGUAUGUAGCUAUUCUCCUGGAAAAUUCAUAUCACAGAGAAAAAUCAGUGGGGAUAAAUCAGAAUUAGGAAUGGAAAGACAGCUUCCUUUUCAAAAUGAAUACGAAGGUUGGAAUUUUAUCCUCUAAAUGGAUAGCCUUAAGGGACGGGCAAAAAUGAAGUUAUGAGAGUAUGUUGUUGCAUCAAAGCUGAUUUUAUUACAAAACUCUGUAAAAGUUAUUAAUGAAUGUUGUUUUUUUCUUAACCUUUUUAUGGCCCGCACAACAUCAAACUCUCUGUCAGACUUCUCAGCCUUUCCAGUUGCAAGGAAAGCAAGCAGAGGUAGCAUUCUCCAAAUUAUUGUGGAAUCAGUGACAAGGAUUUAAAGAACUGUAAAACUACUUCUGCAGGCCCAAGGGUAUGUUUUUUCUGAACAGCAGUUUCCUAUGUCCUAUACAAACCCAUUUUGAAAUAUGGAGAGUUUGAGAAGGACAAGAUACAGGAGAGAGCAAUUCAAAGCAACUCAGAACAGAGGUUGCGGUAUGGGUGAAUACAAUUGGGUGAAUUCCAGACUGAGGAUGGUCAACUUCCAAAGGGAUAAAAAGCUCAGCAGGAGACCUCAGACUCUACAGAAAACCUCCGAGACAUGCCAAAGGUUGACAGUAAGAGGCUUUUGUGAUUCACUUGGUGAAGAGAGAAGAAGCGGGCAGUUCCUUAUCGGUGUCUAAUUCACACUGUCAGAAAGCAGAGGUUUUGUAUAACUAGUGUGCAUUUAUGACAAAUGGAAAAAUUUGAACAUGUAGCCUUAGGUGGAAGGCUUUGAUAUCAAAGGAGACUUAUGCUCUGAUGGCAAUCAUUUAAAUGCUGGAACAAUUAUUUUAAUAUAAAUUAGAAUACUGUUCAUUUACUUAUGGUAUUCAUUGGUAUUAGAUAAAAUAUGAAGUAUUAACUGCUGAGAAACAUGGCAAACAAAGGAAGUAUGAUACGUUAGACAGAAGGAUGAUAGAAAGUAAUAUGGGAAUUAAUAUGGGGACAACAAGUCAACAAAAACCGUGCUCACGAGAAGGUGAGGAGAAGGGGAAACUUGCCAGCAAGCGUCAUAUUGAUCUUAAAGAAUAACAGACUGGAGGAUGUCCAACAUUAACUGAUAUGAUAUUGGAAUAAAUGGGAGUAAGUUCUAUACAAAUUUCUGUGGUCAUGGAGCAACAUACAAAUACUGGAUGUUAUACCAAGCAUCAGUAUAAGAUGCAAUACAUUAAACAAACCAUACAUUAAGUGGCCCAGAGUGUGCCCAAUUUCCAGUACAGUAGCUUGUUUUUUAUGCCAAUGAUGAA